AGACGCUGUUCGUUCAUGGGCAGAAGUUGCGAUCCACGCUUCAGGUGUUCUCUCUGUCUAGUUUGGACGCGGGCGCUGGACGCCGUUCCGCGCGUUGACCCUUGACAGUGGUCAGGUGUUCCGAGAAACCCACUACACCUCGCAGCGUUAACCUGUGGCGGGUGGACGCUUGCUUCACCGCUCGGUGCCUGGCCUUGACGGGUACAGAAGGCGCCAGUGGGUGCUCUCGUACGUUUCCGCACCUGGCGCUAUGCCUCGCGAUCACCUGCUUCGCCUGGGCGACUCCCUAGGCGGGAGCGCUGUCUGCUGCACACGCAGGCGCACUGUGUCGCACUCCAUGGAGGAUUUGUGGAACGCGAUAUUGUCCACGAUGAGAAGAGCACCGGGAGCUCCAUCCAGGGCGCCGAGCGAGCUGAGCGAUGUCCAUCGGUGAACGCUGACGCCGUGUAAAGCGCUGGUACGCGCUCCACCGGAGACGGUCGCUGCGAUGACCUCUGGCCGAGGUCAGGACAUUUUUCCGUGCAACCGGAAAAGACUGGAGCUUUCGGGAAUACAUGCCCUGAAGGGUCUCGUGCUCGCGUCGAAUGCCAUGUCUUUGGCGGUUCCAAAUAGAGGCUGAUUUGGCUUUCGAACGGAAUCGAUUGUAUGAUGACCAGAGGUCAGUGAUUUUCUGACCCGAGCCCGUGAGCAAGCCGUCAAGCGACGUCAUCGUGUUAGCCUUGUCUGUGUAGACGAUGUUGCCCGUUGCUGAGCGCCGACUCUGCUACGAAACAGAGUGCUCGAGAACGCGAAGAAUGCGCGAUUGAGGCAUCCGCUAGACGCUGGGAAGGGAGAAGCGUGGAUGCUCAUCCGAAUGACAGGGAAAUUGAAGUGUACUACUCUGCGAAGCCUUAUUCGAUAGCAUCGCGAAUCAUGUUGAUUCCGGUGACGGACCCGCUUCCGUCUGGGAAGCGUUGUGGUGUUCAUUCCGAAAGGACAACCGCAAAUCCUUGAAGAACCAAAAAGCCUCCACAUGCUCUCAUGACUGCACUUCGAAUUUCGAGGGUACGCAACUAAUCUAGUUCCGAAAAAAUCGAAACCCAGGUGCAGAGCGAGCAGUGCAACGCUCCAUUACAAUCUGACGCAGGUAUAGGUUUCGCGGAUUGCAUGGGCGGCACGGGCGCCCAUAGAACAAAAACGAGGAAGUAACCAGCAACUGACGAAUACUAUCUUCCAUCCGUGUCGCAGACGAUGUACGGUUGGACGGUUUCCAGAUAUUCGAAAGUUCAUCCUGUAGAUGGAAAGUUUCGCGAACCGGACGAGCCUGCAGCGCUAUGGCUCCGCGUGCCCCCGGUGGCGGAUGCUGUGACGAGACCCAGACAGGUCUUCUGCAACGCGGUUUUCCGGGAUGGAGAUGGACGGUCUGUGUCUAGGCGUCGCUCUGGUCGCUAUGUUGUCAUAGCGUGUCGUUUUGCGCUGCUGGAAGCAGGUCUGUCUACACGGCCUUUUGGUUCCCAGAAGAACAAUGGUCUUCGGCUCCGAAUCCAGUGAAUAACGCCUGACACUGACGCCGGCAAAGAUACCCCAGAGCCGGUCUCUCUCUGUAUGUCGACUGCAUCAGGGCGUUUCGCGCCGGAGCCGCUUCUAACAAUAUGCUCGAUGCCCGGAGGAACGCUUGAACGGACCAUAAUUCCCGUAAUCAAGUCUCGUCUGGAAUUUGUGGAACUUGAGGCGGUCUAAAACGGGAAAGUAGACGCUUUUCUACCUGUUGCUAAGAAUCGCACGCGUGUGGAAUCCCUCAUUCUGCUCAUCGAUUCUAAACAUGAAUCAUG